rnacentral:rRNA from 1 species
GAUGAACGCUGGCGGCGUGCCUAAUACAUGCAAGUCGAGCGAACGGACGAGAAGCUUGCUUCUCUGAUGUUAGCGGCGGACGGGUGAUUAACACGUGGAUAACCUACCUAUAAGACUGGGAUAACUUCGGGAAACCGGAGCUAAUACCGGAUAAUAUUUUGAACCGCAUGGUUCAAAAGUGAAAGACGGUCUUUCUGUCACUUAUAGAUGGAUCCGCGCUGCAUUAGCUAGUUGGUAAGGUAACGGCUUACCAAGGCAACGAUGCAUAGCCGACCUGAGAGGGUGAUAGGCCACACUGGAACUGAGACACGGUCCAGACUCCUACGGGAGGCAGCAGUAGGGAAUCUUACGCAAUGGGCGAAAGCAUGACGGAGCAACGCCGCGUGAGUGAUGAAGGUCUUCGGAUCGUAAAACUCUGUUAUUAGGGAAGAACAUAUGUGUAAGUAACUGUGCACAUCUUGACGGUACCUAAUCAGAAAGCCACGGCUAACUACGUG